UUAACUCAAAUUUGUAUAGAGUCGGAACGAUUGCCUACAUUUGCCGCUAGGGGCGCUGUUCCAACUGCAUACAGAUUUGAGUUA
rfam:Bombyx mori DNA, contig: Bm_scaf5_contig5008, strain: p50T/Dazao, build 2, whole genome shotgun sequence.